rnacentral:ribozyme from 1 species
AAACUCCAGCUACUAAGCCAUCGCUCGAAAGACGGUGGUGGCCAGGUUAAUUGCCUCGGGUACAGUCACAACGCUGGAGAUGUUACAAUGGCCAAUCCGCAUCCAAGCCCCUACGGCGCUCCGCCACGGGGAAGGUUCAGAGACUAGAUGGAGGUCGGUCCCGGGGCGCGGCCCCGGGGCUUAAGAUAUAGUCCGUCCCCCGUCGAGAGGCGGGG